rnacentral:siRNA from 1 species
UUGAAGUCCACUACCACAUGUC